rnacentral:sRNA from 1 species
GCUGGGCAUGGUGGUGAGUGCCUGUAGUCCCAGCUACUUGGGAGGCUGAGGCAGGAGAAACGCUUGAACCCGGGAGUUGGAGGUUGCAGUGAGUUGAGAUCUCACCACUGCACUCCAGCCUGGGUGACACAGCGAGACUCUGUCUCAA